GAUGAACGCUGGCGGCGUGCCUAAUACAUGCGAGUCGAGCGAACGGACGAGAAGCUUGCUUUUCUGAUGUUAGCGGCGGACGGGUGAGUAACACGUGGAUAACCUGCCUAUAAGACUGGGAUAACUUCGGGAAACCGGAGCUAAUAUCGGAUAAUAUUUUGAACCGCAUGGUUCAAAAGUGAAAGACGGUCUUGCUGUCACUUAUAGAUGGAUCCGCGCUGCAUUAGCUAGUUGGUAAGGUAACGGCUUACCAAGGCAACGAUGCAUAGCCGACCUGAGAGGGUGAUCGGCCACACUGGAACUGAGACACGGUCCAGACUCCUACGGGAGGCAGCAGUAGGGAAUCUUCCGCAAUGGGCGAAAGCCUGACGGAGCAACGCCGCGUGAGUGAUGAAGGUCUUCGGAUCGUAAAACUCUGUUAUUAGGGAAGAACAUAUGUGUAAGUAACUGUGCACAUCUUGACGGUACCUAAUCAGAAAGCCACGGCUAACUACGUG
rnacentral:rRNA from 1 species